GCAGACUCACUCUGUGCCUGACUGCAAUCUUCAGUCCAGGUGCUUUUUCAGUCUGCUAGAGUAAUGCUUCAGGAUGUCAAACACUUCUUUUCCUGUAGAAGACUGU
rnacentral:snoRNA from 1 species